UGCUAAAAGACCACGGUUUUGCAAUAGCAUUGUCUUUUGAGCGUGGUCAUAGUUAUUUUACGACCACGCUUUUAAAAAACACUUGUUAAAAGACUUAAAAAUUUGUAGUCUUUUUAUUAAUUUAUUUAAAUAAUUAUCAAUUAAAAAUUCCCAAAAUUAAAAUCCCUAACCCCAAAUCGCAACCCCCUUUCUUGUUCCCAAACUCUCAACUCGCCUGCCACGCCGCGACCACCAUCUCGCCGCCGCAAUCCGCUCUGCCUGCCACGCCGCGCCCCCCCAUCUCGCCGCCCCUCUCCUCUGUCUGCUAAUCUUAGGCGUGGCUACCCGCACCGGCUGCCAUGCUGCGCCCAACGACUCGCCGCCCCUCUCAUUGUCGCGAACCCUAAGCGCCGUGACCAGCGCCGCCGGCCACGCCUCGUCCCCAAUCUCGCCGCCAAUGUCUUCGUCGCUAACCUCAGGCACCGCACCCCCGCUCUCGCGACCCCUGUCCUCAUUGCUAACCCUAGGCGUCGCCUCCCUCCCCCAUCGGUGAAAAGCUUUCCACCCGCCGCCUUCUCCGCCUGUCUUGGCUUCGCCUAGCUCGCCCUCUCAGAAGCAGAGCCCCUAAUUCAAAACCCUAGCCCAAAAUCAGGGAUGAGCUUUUGCAUUAAGUGUUUGUUGUUCUGUUCCAGACAGCAAAUGGGGUGAGGAAAAGGCCAGAAUCCUAGGCUAAAUUUUUGGUUUGAGGAGUUGAUGUGAGUAACAAGGGGACCGUUGGGGAGCUGAAGCAAGCUGUUGAAGCAGCUUUUGAUCAUUUGCCAAAAGGGGGGACUGGCAGAGUUUCAUGGUCACCCUUCGAUGCUGAUCAGACGUAUCUCAACCGUAAAUCCUUCCCCCAAAACCUGAAUCGCUGUAGCUCUGCAGCUGCGGCUGGAGAGCCGGAACUUGCGCACAAGAUCAUUUAUCGGUGGAAUGAAGCUUCUUUUGAGGUGCGGCAGUUGUACAAGACAUUUGUGGCGGCUGUGGCAUCGGAGGAGUUUCAGCAAGUGGUAGUACAAGCGUAUAGACUAUCCAGUGGGACUUCUGAAUCUGAAGAGAGACAGGGAUAGAAGAAUUUUGUCAAAAAAGUGAUGCUUUCUUCUAUAUUAUUUUUAGUUGCUACAAUUAUGUUUAAAGUACAAUGCAAAAAAUUCUUAAAUUAUUGUAAUGACUAUUGAAUAUUGAACUCGCGUUAAAUUUAUGUAUUUUGAUUUGUGUUUAUUAA